UGUGGCUCCCCUGAAGCGCUGUCUUGUUGGGGGGGGGCUUCCAGAAAACCCCUCCAGGAUGCCUGCAGUAAGGGGGCGCUGGUGAGUCACCUGGCGCCCAAAUGGACAGAAUUCUGGAGUUUGGGCCCCAGGAGAAGAAGGACAGGAGCUUGCUUCUGACUUAGGGCUGUCUGAAGACCUGUGGGAACAGCCACGACUGUCCUAUCCUCUGUCUAGAAGGAAGACAGCAGCCACCACGGUUCUAUGCAGCCCUUGGAGGUCACUGUGGCUCCUGGAACAGCGGCUGUGCGUGCCGGGUGCUAAGGCUCAAGCCUGCACCAUUCUCUGCAGAACUGUCACCUCGCCCAGAGAUGCUCCUCCACCCCCACCCCACGGGACAGCCAAUGACUGACAGGUGACGGGUAGAGAGGCCGGCCCCAUGCCUCAGGUCCUUGAGUGCCACUGCAUGUAAAGUGCUUCACGUGGAUCCCGGCCCACUGAGUGAGCAGCAGCCACAGAGAGUUUGCAUGGCGCCUGGCACAGGCCAAGCUCGCAGUGAGAAAAAAUCUGCUGGCCUCCAACGAAGAGCAGCAUGACCGAGAUUGGGUAGAAGGAAAGUUGCUUGCCCGAUGUUUCCAGCCACUCCCCCUCUGAAAUGCCACCCCUCUGGGUAAGCUUUCCCUGCAUGCUCGGCGCUUUAGCGCCUGGCACAUGCACAGGGAAGAAUGUGAUUAAUGAGGUCACACAGAGGUGUUGGUGACGUAAUGGAUCUCACCCUCCUCCUCCCGGGAGUUGGACCAAAGGAAUGAAGCUGAGUGGUAGAAUUUG